CUGCACCUAUACAUUACAUAUUUUUUAUGAUAAUAACUAAUAUUUAGUUUGUGAACAAAUGUCAUUCUAACCACCAAAGAUGACAAUCUAGUCACUUUAUAAAAUAUCCUUAUAGAUGGAUAAAAAAUAAAAAGAUGAGGACGGAGAAAAGACCUUUGCCUAUGUUUCUUUUGGAUCAAUGCCACAAGAUAGGUCAUUCUACAACGAGGAUUACAUAAAUUUCUAAAGCAUCACCUUGAACUUUGCCUUCUUUCUUCCAUUGUUCGAUUACACAAUGAAAGACAACACAAUCCUCCGCAUUUUUUAACUUCAUAGUGACUCCCCUGAAUAUUGUAUCUGGUUCAAAAACAACACCGUUAAAAUGCAUAAGUAUUUGGCAGUAGAUCAAUUAAUUAUACCACAACCAUAUUGCAAUAAUUUACUAUGUAUAACUCACAAGAAAUGAGCAUAUGUUGAAUGGGGCAAAUGAAAACUAUAAAACAUAAAAUGCAAUAAUUCUAUAUGAUAAACGUAUUAUACUCAGACAACAAAAACCCCCACGGUUUUGUGAUUUUCCUUGUUCCAAGUAAAACAGCUCAAUAUAAAAGUGAGACACGACUUUACUAACAUCGUUUAGCUUUAUACCUUUUUACUAACAACAGAGUGUUCUUCUUCCACUAUGCAAACUGAUUGAACAAACCCCAACUCGAAUACCUGAUAUAUAAGUUCAACCAAAAAUGAAGAUAAACCUAAUAUAAAUAAUGCAUCAUUCAGAGACAAGCAUUUAACACGGUUAUCACAAAAACACAUGUUAAUAUCGCUCAAAUAACAUUUCUAAUUAACUAGAAUAACUAAGGAAAGGAGCAAAGUGUAAAAUUAAACCCGUUCGGAGAUCAACAUUGAGGAUAAUCUGAUUCGAUUCCUGAAGAAUUUGAAGGCCGUCGGUGGUGAAGCGAGCUAUCCCCGAGGAAGCCGAAGAAGAACCUAGACAAAGGUCCACGACUGGUGCCAAAUCGAACUCUCUCUACUUCAACUUUUCCUCCAUUACUCUCUCAAGAAAAAAAUUUCAGUUAUGAAUGAAAUUAUGUGUUCAUAUUGAUUAUUUGUAACUUAGACGAAAUACAUGGAAGUAGGGUUUGGGAUAUUAGAAUUGGG
rnacentral:lncRNA from 1 species